rnacentral:rRNA from 1 species
GACGAACUGUCCUAACGUUGUUCGGAAUCACUGGGCUUAAAGGGCGCGUAGGCGGUCCGACAAGUCAGGGGUGAAAUCCUGCAGCUUAACUGUAGAAGUGCCUUUGAUACUGUCGGUCUUGAGGGAAAUAGGGGUGUGCGGAACUUCCAGUGGAGCGGUGAAAUGCGUUGAUAUUGGAAGGAACGCCGGAGGCGAAAGCGGCGCACUGGAUUUCUUCUGACGCUGAGGCGCGAAAGCCAGGGGAGCAAACGGG